CAAAAUGUAGCUUAACUUUAAAGCAUUUAGUUUACACCUAAAAGAUUUCAGUCUAAUUCUGACCAUUUUGA
rnacentral:tRNA from 1 species